AUUGAACGCUGGCGGAAUGCUUUACACAUGCAAGUCGAACGGCAGCACGGGGGCAACCCUGGUGGCGAGUGGCGAACGGGUGAGUAAUACAUCGGAACGUGCCCAGUCGUGGGGGAUAACGUAGCGAAAGUUACGCUAAUACCGCAUACGAUCUACGGAUGAAAGCGGGGGACCGUAAGGCCUCGCGCGAUUGGAGCGGCCGAUGGCAGAUUAGGUAGUUGGUGAGGUAAAGGCGCACCAAGCCGACGAUCUGUAGCUGGUCUGAGAGGACCACCAGCCACGCGGGGAGUGAGACACGGCCCAGACGCCUACGGGAGGCAGCAGUGGGGAAUUUUGGACAAUGAGCGCAAGCCUGAUCCAGCCAUUACGCGUGCAGGACGAAGGCCGUCGGGUUGUAAACUGCUUUUGUACGGAACGAAAAGGCUCUGGUUAAUACCUGGGGCUCAUGACGGUACCGUAAGAAUAAGCACCGGCUAACUACGUGCCAGCCGCCGCGGUAA
rnacentral:rRNA from 1 species